rnacentral:rRNA from 1 species
GACGAACGCUGGCGGCGUGCUUAACACAUGCAAGUCGAACGGAAAGGCCCUGCUUGCAGGGUACUCGAGUGGCGAACGGGUGAGUAACACGUGGGUGAUCUGCCCUGCACUUCGGGAUAAGCCUGGGAAACUGGGUCUAAUACCGGAUAGGAGCCAUUUUUAGUGUGAUGGUUGGAAAGUUUUUUCGGUGUAGGAUGAGCUCGCGGCCUAUCAGCUUGUUGGUGGGGUAAUGGCCUACCAAGGCGGCGACGGGUAGCCGGCCUGAGAGGGUGGACGGCCACAUUGGGACUGAGAUACGGCCCAGACUCCUACGGGAGGCAGCAGUGGGGAAUAUUGCACAAUGGGCGCAAGCCUGAUGCAGCAACGCCGCGUGGGGGAGGACGGCCUUCGGGUUGUAAACUCCUUUCGCUAGGGACGAAGCUUUUUGUGACGGUACCUAGAGAAGAAGCACCGGCUAACUACGUG